GUCCCAGUUCGGACUGGAGUCUGCAACCCGACUCCACGAAGUUGGGUUCGCUAGUAAUCGCGCAUCAGCCAUGGCGCGGUGAAUACGUUCCCGGGCCUUGUACACACCGCCCGUCAAACCAUGAGAGUUGGCAACACCCGAAGUCGGUAGUCUAACCGCAAGGAGGACGCCGCCGAAGGUGGGGUUGAUGAUUAGGGUUAAGUCGUAACAAGGUAAC
rnacentral:rRNA from 1 species